UACAGAGGCCUCGAGCGUUAGGCGGAAUCACUGGGCUUAAAGCGUGUGUAGGCGGACUUCUAAGUACCUUGUGAAAUCCCACGGCUUACCCGUGGAACUGCUUGGUAUACUGGUUGUCUUGAGCCACUUAGGGGCUACCGGAACAAAUGGUGGAGCGGUGAAAUGCGUAGAUAUCAUUUGGAACGCCAAUGGUGAAAACAGGUAGCUGGGGCUGUGCUGACACUGAGACACGAAAGCCAGGGGAGCAAACGGG
rnacentral:rRNA from 1 species